UACGAAGGGGGCUAGCGUUGUUCGGAGUUACUGGGCGUAAAGCGUGCGUAGGCGGUGGUCCAAGUCUGGUGUGAAAUCUCCCGGCUCAACUGGGAGGGUGCGCCGGAAACCGGGCCGCUGGAGUAUGGGAGAGGCAAGCGGAAUUCCAGGUGUAGCGGUGAAAUGCGUAGAUAUCCGGAGGAACACCGGUGGCGAAGGCGGCUCUCUGGAACGGUACUGACGCUGAGACGCGAAAGCGUGGGGAGCGAACAGG
rnacentral:rRNA from 1 species